rnacentral:lncRNA from 1 species
ACCUUUUUUUUCCUCUUCUUUUUAAGGGAAAAUCCCUCAAAUCCCCAUUUUUUUCCCAGGGAAAAUUCCCGAAGCUCCUUCCCCUCCCAUUUUUUGGGGGAAUCCUCCCUAAAUCCUCAUUUCCCGCCCGGAUUUUUUGGGGAUAAAUCCCCGGAAUUCGCUUUUCCUGCUCUUUUUUCUCCUCCCAAAUCCUCGUUUUUCCCUCCCCUCCCCCCCCAUGGAUCCUCUCUCCGCCUGAACCCCUCCCCCAUUCCCAAUUUUCCCCACUUUUCCCCAUUUUUCCCCACUUUUCCCCACUUUUUUCCCAAUUUUUCCCACUUUUUCCCCCAUUUUUUCCCACUUUUUCCCCAUUUUUCCCCACUUUUUCCCCACUUUUCCCCAUUUUUCCCACUUUUUCCCACUUUUUCCCACUUUUUCCCACUUUUUCCCACUUUUCCCCACUUUUUUCCCACUUUUUCCCACUUUUUCCCACUUUUUCCCACUUUUUCCCCACUUUUUCCCCACUUUUUCCCCACUUUUCCCCAUUUUUCCCCACUUUUCCCCAUUUUCUCCAACUUUUUCCCACUUUUUCCCACUUUUUUCCCCACUUUUUCCCCACUUUUUCCCACUUUAUCCCCACUUUUUGCCACUUUUCCCCAUUUUUCCCACUUUUUCCCACUUUUUCCCCACUUUUUCCCACUUUUCCCCACUUUUUUCCCAUUUUUUCCCAUUUUUUCCCCACUUUUCCCAUUUUUCCCCAUUUUUUCCCACUUUUUCCCCAUUUUCCCCACUUUUCCCCAUUUUUCCCCAUUUUCCCCACUUUUCCCCACUUUUCCCUGCGGAUCCCUGUGGAUCUCCGCCCUCCCAGGGUCCCUUUGCCCCGGGAUCCUUUGGGAUCCCUGGGGAUCUCCGCUCUCCCUGCGGAUCCCUGAAUUCCAGGGGGAUCCCCGGGGUUUUCCGGGGGGUUUCCCUUCCCCUCCCGCCUCGGGAUCCCCUCGGGAUUGGCCGGAGCCUGCUGGGAUCCUCUGGGAUCCUCUGGGAUCCUCUGGGAUCCUUUGGGAUCUCUGCUCUUCCCCAUCUCCAGGGGGGCUCCGUCCUUCCCCUCGGGCUCCCCGGGAUCGGUCGGGAUCCCCGGGAUCUGUUGGGAUCCCCAGGUUUGUGCAGGCUCCCCAGGCUCGGUUGGGAUCCCCAGGAUCUCCUGGGAUCCCUCAGUCUCCCCAGUCAGGAUCCCCAGGGUCUCCCCAGGAUCCCUGGGAUCCCCAGACUCCUUCAGGCUCAUUCAGGAUCCCCGGGAUCUUUGAGUGUCCCCAGUCAGGAUCUCCCCAGGAUCCCCAGUCUCGUUCAGGCUCAUUCAGGAUCUCCCCAGUCCCUCCCAGUCCCUCCCCGUCUCUCCCAGUCCCUGUCCCCAGUCCCUCCCAGUCCCUCCCAGU